GAUGAAUGCUGGCGGCGUGCCUAACACAUGCAAGCCGAGCGGUAUUGUUUCUUCGGAAAUGAGAGAGCGGCGUACGGGUGCGUAACACGCGUGCAACCUGCCUUUAUCUGGGGGAUAGCCUUUCGAAAGGAAGAUUAAUACUCCAUAAUAUAUUGAACGGCAUCGUUUAAUAUUGAAAGCUCCGGCGGAUAGAGAUGGGCACGCGCAAGAUUAGCUAGUUGGCGAGGUAACGGCUCACCAAGGCGAUGAUCUUUAGGGGGCCUGAGAGGGUGAUCCCCCACACUGGUACUGAGACACGGACCAGACUCCUACGGGAGGCAGCAGUGAGGAAUAUUGGUCAAUGGGUGCAAGCCUGAACCAGCCAUCCCGCGUGAAGGACGACUGCCCUAUGGGUUGUAAACUUCUUUUGUAUAGGGAUAAACCUACCCUCGUGAGGGUAGCUGAAGGUACUAUACGAAUAAGCACCGGCUAACUCCGUGCCAGCAGCCGCCGCAG
rnacentral:rRNA from 1 species